rnacentral:rRNA from 1 species
UCUGGUUGAUCCUGCCAGUAGCGUAUGCUCGUCUUAAAGAUUAAGCCAUGCAUGUCUAAGUUCAAACCGUUUUAAGGUGAGACUGCGAAAGGCUCAGUAAAUCAGUUAUCGUUUAUUUGAUUGUACAUUUCUAUGGAUAACCGUGGAAAAUCUAGAGCUAAUACAUGUUUGUCACUCUUGGUUCUUUUGGGCUAAGAGGCAUUUAUUAGAUCAAAACCGCUUCUUGUAUGCCUCGGUGUGCAAGGAUAUAGGUGAGUCUGGAUAACUGUGCGGAUCGAAAGGCUUUUGCCGUCGACGUUUCAAUCAAAUAUCUGCCCUAUCAACUUGUUGGUAAGGUAGUGGCUUACCAAGGUUGCAACGGGUAACGGGGAAUCAGGGUUCGAUUCCGGAGAGGGAGCCUGAGAAACGGCUACCACAUCCAAGGACGGCAGCAGGCGCGCAAAUUACCCAAUCCUGACACAGGGAGGUAGUAACGAGAAAUACCAGGAUGGGGCCCUAAGGGUCUCAACUGGAAUGAGCGUAAUUUAAAACCUUCGUCGAAAGCAACCGGAGGGCAAGUCUGGUGCCAGCAGCCGCGGUAAUUCCAGCUCCGGUAGUCUACUCUAAAAUUGCUGCAGUUAAAACGCUCGUAGUUGGAUUAUGGGGUGACUUGGUGUCGCAAGUUAUUGAUGCUGGUUUUGCCAGCCAUCUGCUUGUGUAUCUAGGUUGCCACUUGUUCGUGGGAGCAUUGUGCUACUUUAUUGUUAGUGCAAUGUGCCCCGCGUAGUGUGCCUUGAGUAAAAUAGAGUGCUCAAAGCAGGCCUGUGCCUGAAUAUUGAUAGCAUGGAACGAAUAGCCGUGAUGUGUAUAUGUUAGGAUGUGGUGCAAAUCAUGUCUUGAUGUGUACAUAGCACCGACCACGAUUGGGUUGUUGGUUACCACAAUCGGGUAAUGAUUAAGAGGGACAUUUGGGGGCAUUGGUAUUUGGGCGCGAGAAGUGAAAUUCUUGGACCGCUCAAGGACCAACAAGUGCGAAAGCAUUUGCCAAGAGUGUUUUCAUUAAUCAAGAACGAAAGUUAGAGGUUCGAAGACGAUCAGAUACCGUCAUAGUUCUAACCCUAAACUAUGCCGACCUGGGAUCAGCUCGGUGUAAUUCGAGCUCCAAGUUGGUCCCCCUGGGAAACCUAAAGUUUUUAGGCUCUGGGGGGAGUAUGGUUGCAAGGCUGAAACUUAAAGGAAUUGACGGAAGGGCACCACCAGGAGUGGAGCCUGCGGCUUAAUUUGACUCAACACGGGAAAACUCACCCGGUCCGGACAUCGAUAGGAUUGACAGACUGAUAGAUCUUUCAUGAUACGGUGGUUGGUGGUGCAUGGCCGUUCUUAGUUCGUGGAGCGAUCUGUCAGGUUAAUUCCGGUAACGAACGAGACCAAAAUCUCCAUUAUGGGUCGGUGUACCGUGUCGUGGUAUGCGCUUGGCCUAUGGAGAGACAACUGUUCUAAAGUCAGAGGAAGAUUGGCAAUAACAGGUCUGUGAUGCCCUUAGAUGUUCGGGGCUGCACGCGCGCUACAAUGAUGACAACAGCGAGUUUCUAAACCGAAAGGUGCGGUAAUCUUGUAAAUUGUCAUCGUGAUGGGGAUUGAGCCUUGUAAUUAUUGCUCAUGAAAGAGGAAUUCCUAGUAAGCUCGAGUCAUCAGCUCGUGUUGAUUACGUCUCUGCCCUUUGUACACACCGCCCGUCGCUACUACCGAGUGAAUGGUGUCAUGAUGCCUUGGGACUGAAGCGAAGUGCGAGACCUGGUCUGGCUUUCUGUUUUGGGAGCAAGGUAAAAUGGUUCUAUUUCGAGGAAGUAAAAGUCGUAACAAGG